AAAAAGCAGCCUUGGGAGACGUGUUUGGAUUUGCUGGACAGUUUUUUUUUAUAUUUUCUUUUUUAUCUCCCAUUAAUAUGCUCCAGAAUAUAUUUAGAAAACAAAUUAUAUCCAGUGGCUUCUAAACUCCUUUAUCCUUUUGCUCCAACAGGUUUUUGAUCCACUGGAUUGACUGUGUGAGAAGCCAAACGGUGGCCGUGGGGGUGCAAAUACUCUUUGAUUCCUUUCUUAAUUCAAUCUCAAAGCAGUUUUAGGCAGAGAAUUGCACACAGUCAAUGAUGCAAUACAUACAUAGGCCAAUCUGUGAAAGUUAAACGAGCUUUGUAAGAAAAAUAGGGGCACUUAUUUUUAGUAUAUUUUAGAUCCCCCAUUUCUUCCACCAUGGCGGCUGCUUUUAAUGUCCAGUGUGCAUGGUUCCAUUCAAUAAUGUCAUGGUCAUUCAGACUUUGUGGCCGUUCUUUAGUCAUCAGCCCAUGUUUUAUUACCUGUUUUUUUCCUCUCCUGACAGGAGAAACACAAUUAGGCAGAAAGAACUGGAUGAGGAGUGCAGAUCUUUGAAAGAUGAGAUGGUCUGCAGCACGCACUCCCUGUGAUUGUGGUAAUGGGCAACUCUGAAGUCGCUCUAGCACUGUUCGUCCUUCCCCUUUUCAUCUUUACCUGCUUACUCUCCUGAACUCUCUGCAACAGUUAUGAGCAUGGGCACAGUUGUUUUGUAGCCUGUGUGUGUAUAUUUUUCCUUUCUCCUUAGGAUUUUUGCUUUAUACACUACUGUACAGUGCUCAACUUUUAACAUGCUGUGAUAUUUCCAAAA